rnacentral:lncRNA from 1 species
AUUUUGCAGGACUUUCAGGAGAAAAUCCACAAUAUGAUCAGAUUAUUAGUGAUGGAAAUGAGGUUCCUGUUCGUGUGUUUGCAAUUCCAGAGAAACAAGAUGUUCUUCAAGAACUAGUAGAAAUCCCACUAGAUAAUUACAAUAUUAUUAGUAAUGAAAAUGAUUUCCAGACCCCUCUGAUCAAGAUGUGCUUCAAGAACUAGCAGAAAUCCCACUAGAUGGUAAGUUAAUUUUAUAAUUUUAAUCUCUUGUGCAAAAUGCGCGCUUUGAGGCGUUCAUCUGUCUUUGCUAGAUAAUUUAAACUUCUUUAAAUUUCUAGCAAUUUUGUUUUUCAGAUGAUGUUAUGCAGUGCAUUGUAAACACAACUGUACUGGCUACAGGAAGUGAUUUUCCUGAUACCAUCAUAAUAGGUAGAUGCCGAAAAUAUUAACACUGAACAAAUACACCAUUUUAAAAAAAUACAGAAAAAACCUACAGAUAUCAAUCUACAUAACUAUGAACAAAAAAAUAAUACAAUGCAAUUAAAGAAUGUUUUAACAGAGAGAGAAGUAGGCCACUAUCACAUUGAAGGUGAUUUGGUAAAUCUCUUCACGCAUGGAAGCAACCUAGAAAAUCAACUUGAAGUUCAGUUGAGUGCUGAUCAGGGUUUAAUCAUAGUUUCAGCAGACAACCUUGGAGAAGGGAAUGCAAACGAGUUGAGUGAUGAUCACCCUAAAAUCCCAGUUUUGAUAGAAAACGUCGUAGAAGAACAGCAUGCAUUGGAACCUGCUAACUUAUAUACUAAAGAGGGAAACUUGAGAAACAGAAAAAAAUAUGACCUGGCGUUGGAAACACGUAAACGUAUAAAAUUAAACCAGAUAAGAGAAGACCAUAGACCGUUGCCGUCGUGCGAUCGUGAUAAAUGCAGAAAAAAAUGCAAUAUUAAAAUAUCAGAAGUUCGACCACAAAUGUAAAUCGUGCAGAGCUAUUUACAUCUAUGGUUCGACGUUCGGAAAUCAAUCAGCAGUUUUGGAAUUUGUCUUGGUUAGAACGGCGAACAUUUAUUUUUAAUACCUGCAAACGCUUGGCAAUGAAAAGGCGACCCAAGUCUGCAGAAAGUGAGAAAAAGCAAAAUACUUUUAAGUAUUAAGUAUUAUUUCCCCGACGAAAAAUUAUUAACUGAGGCAGUUACUCAUGAAGUCUGUAAGGUAUUUUUCCUUACCACAUUAGUUUAUAAGAAAACUAAUGAUCGGGUGAUAACAGAAGUUUUAUCAAAAACAGAAAAAGGAAAUCUUCAACCAAAUCGAGACCAGCGCGGGAAAUACAACAAACACAAUAAAUUUGAAGACGAAGACUUACUUAAACAGCGCAUUGAAUCGUUUAACCCCACAAUCUCUCAUUAUCGCCGCGAGCACGCGCCGCACACUAGAUACUUGAUUCGUAUGAAUUGUAUCGCCGAAAAGUGAAGAACUUACGUAUAUCAUUUGCAUCUCUAGCUCACGAGGAAUGCGAAGGUUGUGAAGAAUUUCAAUUGCAUGGCCAUUUGAAGGACAAUCUACAACCUGAUUGUGAGCAAUGUGAAAUCUGGAAAAAACAUAUAGAUAAAGCCAGUGCAGCUCGAAAUCUGUAUCGACAACACGCUGAACAGACGUUUGAAAAUGGUACAGUUUGUUGCUCAGCAGACCUCCAGAAAGUUAUCAUACUGCCACGAAUUGACUGUUUUAAAAAAGUUAUCUUAUAAAGAAUAUCACGAAAGUUUUGUUCCAGUUGGUAAAAAAUCAAACAUUAAGCCAUAUGCCUGCAUAUGGCAUGAGGGCAUCACCGGGCGAAAUAAAGAGGAUAUCGUGAGUACUUUUUAUGCAUUCUUUGUGAAAUACAGAGAUUCACCACGGAUUAUCUUAUGGCUGGACAACUGCACCAGCCAAAAUAAAAAUUGGUGUUUUCUAGCCUUUUUGAUAUAUAUUGUGAAUUCGGAUGAAAUGGCCAUUAAUGAAAUAAACAUACACUACUUUGUCCCGGGCCAUACAUUUAUGUCGGCUGAUAGCUUCCACCAUCAGGUGGAAGCUGCCUUGCAGAAGCAGAAAAAGACCUAUGAUUUUAAAGAUUUUUCAGCUGCUAUUCAAAGUGCGAAUAAGUCAAAAGUGGAGGUAAAAGAAAUGCAGUACUCGGAAAAAAUACAAAAGGCAGAAAACAGAUUAUAUCUAACAGACAUUGUUAAUAUAAAAGCUAUAAGGGGAAGUUAUGAAUUAAAAUGUAAAUCUGAUUUAACGAAAGAUGAUUAUAUAACAUAAGAUUUUUUAUGAAAAAAAAUGGAAUGCCUGCACCCUCUCCUUUAAAAGUACCAUGUGGAGUGUCAUUUAAAAAAACGAGAAAGUAUUCUCAAAAAUUUAAGUUCUGUUCUUCCAAAAAAUAGACAAACAUUUUGGAAAGAAUUGGCAAUAAACACUCCUCCGUAGUGGACAAUAUUUUCAGGCAAGGUUAAGUUUUUAUUUUGUUUAGAUUUAGUUUUUGUUAAAAAUAAUUCAAGAUAUUUUUACGAUAAGAUCCGCAAAAAGAAUUUCAAUUAGUUUUUUAAUGCAUUACUAGGCAUAUGUGCAGCAAGUGAAGCUAGCUUAAUAAAAAAGCCGUAUGUGCGCGCAUAAACGGCAUUUUUGCUUAGUAAUGUUAAUGCCUUGUUUGCUGUAUAUACAUUUAUUAGUAGAAAUAAUUAUUUUAUAUUAAAACGGAUUAUUAGAAAGUAUUCACAAUAAAAAAUUUGCAUAUAAAACAUGUGUUUCAUUUCCCCUAAUUGUGAGCAGGGUUUUUGGUAACCAUCAAAUGAAAAAAAGCUCGAUAUCUCAAAAUGGCAAUUUUGCACUUACGGCACUUUCAUUUAGCACGGCAGCAUAGGUGACUGAUUUUAAGUUAACAUGUUGCAAGAAAUUAUUAGCCAAAGCUUUUAAAAUUAUAAUUAGUGUUAAUAAUAGAGAUAAAAUAAACUGCAUAUUGUUGUAUCAUUAAUUGUAGGCUAAUAAAUUACAUUAAACCUUCGACAUUUAUAGAACAAUAUGCUUAAUUGUAGUGGAGUAAUGUACUUGGAAUAAGUCAUUGAGGGAUAUAAAUAAUAGUUUAGCACCCACCAGAUUCAGUUUCUCAAGUGUUUUUACUCAUAAUUUGUCUUGGAAUGAUAUGCUAAAGUAACUCUAUAAACUUUAACAUUUUAGUAGGGUACAAUGUGUUUAGGUUCAAGUCAAGUCAAUAAAUCAUUUUAUCAUCUAAGAUUCUUAUAUCUUGAUAAAUUCAAUCAAUACAUUUUACACAAGUUAAGAAAUGACACACACAACCCACUUAUGGACCCUGGAACUAAUGAAAAAUUUCAAGAUACUGUCUUUUUUAACUGCUUGGAAAAUGGCAAAAAGAGUUUUUCCAAGCCAGUAUAGUCAAUUCAAAUAAUAAGACUUUUCAACUACCUGGAAAAGAUAAAAAAUUUCUCAUUUCCGGGUGAGCAACACAGUUUUAACAAAUAUCACAGUCAGGAAUCAAGUGAAACCCCAAUGACUUUAUUCAUUUGUUGCAUAAAUUUAUAGUAAAAACCAAGGUUGGUACUUAUGCUUAGGUAGUUGUAGAUUUUCUGCUUCAUAUACUAUCCAAAUUUACCUUGGUGUAGAUUUAAAGUCCAGAAGGUUUGUAGUUUUUACCAUUCUAAAAUUCAAAUCUUCAACCUGUUGUAGUCUGUUCGACAAGGGUCUCUCAUUGUACAACACGCCACCAAAAUAACUUACAAUUAGGACAGUUCAGAAGUCAGUACUUGCGGAAAAUGUUCAUUUUCAAUUAAAUGGUCAGACAAUUUCAUUAUCUCAAAAGAUGAAAGUCUUAUUUGGUGUGAAUGUUGACAGCUCUCUAAGAUUCUAGGAAUAUGUUUAUUUACUGUUGUGAAUACUUAUAGAGUAGACCUGCAUUAUACUGAACACACUGUCUAGUGAACUAUUCUCAAUAGUGAACAGACAUUUUUUCCUUAAUGUAUUCUGUCAAGUGAACAAAUUGAUUCUCAAAAUAGUAAACCCAAUAGUUUUAUUAGGUAAACAAACAAGUUAGGACAAGAAAAAGAUAUUAAACCAUUUGUUUCUUUUCGGGCAAUUAGUUUUCUUUAGUAUUUGGGUGCAGUAGGUCGCGUCACGCCGCCAGAAUAAUUAUGGCAAAAAUUAGAAAGCAUUUAACCCUAAGCGAUAAAGCCAAAAUAUUAGAAGAAUUAAAGAAAGGUGUCGGAGUGACCAUUUUGUCUAGACAAUAUGGUGUUGCUAAAUUCACUAUAUGCGCGAUUCGUUACAGAAGGAUAAAGGUUUUAAAACCAUUCAACAGUACUUUCAUAGGACCUGGAAAAGCGAAAACUUUGAGACAAUCAGAGUGUCCUAGAAUGGAAAAAGCUUUAUAUAAGUGGUUCUUAAAAACAAGGGAGAGAAAUUUUCCGGUAACUGGUUUAAUGAUCCAAGAGAAGGCCAAGUUACUUCACAGUGAAUACAAGGAAUCUCCUUCU